rnacentral:rRNA from 1 species
UGGGGAAUUUUGGACAAUGGGCGCAAGCCUGCUCCAGCCAUGCCGCGUGUCUGAAGAAGGCCUUCGGGUUGUAAAGGACUUUUGUCAGGGAAGAAAAGGCUGUCGCUAAUACCGACAGUUGAUGGCGGUACCUGAAGAAUAAGCACCGGCUAACUACGUGCCAGCAGCCGCGGUAAUACGUAGGGUGCAAGCGUUAAUCGGAAUUACUGGGCGUAAAGCGAGCGCAGACGGUUACUUAAGCAGGAUGUGAAAUCCCCGGGCUCAACCUGGGAACUGCGUUCUGAACUGGGUGACUAGAGUGUGUCAGAGGGAGGUAGAAUUCCACGUGUAGCAGUGAAAUGCGUAGAGAUGUGGAGGAAUACCGAUGGCGAAGGCAGCCUCCUGGGAUAACACUGACGUUCAUGCUCGAAAGCGUGGGUAGCAAACAGGAUUAGAUACCCUGGUAGUCCACGCCCUAAACGAUGUCAAUUANCUGUUGGGCAACUUGAUUGCUUANUANNGUANCUAACGCGUGAAAUUGACUGCCUGGGGAGUACGGUCGCAAGAUUA